rnacentral:rRNA from 1 species
GUGACAGCAGCCGCGGUAAAACGUAGGAGGCAAGCGUUAUCCGGAGUUACUGGGCGUAAAGCGCGCGCAGGCGGACUAGUAAGUGGGUGGUGAAAGCGCCCGGCCAAACCGGGCGAGGACCGCUCAGACUGCCGGUCUAGAGGCGGAUAGAGGAGCGUGGAAUUCCGGGUGUAGCGGUGAAAUGUGUAGAGAUCCGGAGGAACACCAGUGGUGCAAACGACGCUCUGGGUCCGAACUGACGCUGAGGCGCGAAAGCGUGGGGAGCGAACGGGAUUAGAUACCCUAGUAGUCC